rnacentral:rRNA from 1 species
GACGAACGCUGGCGGCGUGCUUAACACAUGCAAGUCGAACGGGAAGGCCCUGCUUUUGUGGGGUGCUCGAGUGGCGAACGGGUGAGUAACACGUGAGUAACCUGCCCUUGACUUUGGGAUAACUUCAGGAAACUGGGGCUAAUACCGGAUAGGAGCUCCUGCUGCAUGGUGGGGGUUGGAAAGUUUCGGCGGUUGGGGAUGGACUCGCGGCUUAUCGGCUUGUUGGUGGGGUAGUGGCUUACCAAGGCUUUGACGGGUAGCCGGCCUGAGAGGGUGACCGGCCACAUUGGGACUGAGAUACGGCCCAGACUCCUACGGGAGGCAGCAGUGGGGAAUAUUGCACAAUGGGCGGAAGCCUGAUGCAGCAACGCCGCGUGCGGGAUGACGGCCUUCGGGUUGUAAACCGCUUUCGCCUGUGACGAAGCGUGAGUGACGGUAAUGGGUAAAGAAGCACCGGCUAACUACGUG